rfam:Cellulophaga algicola DSM 14237, complete genome.
GGGGCCGCCUGGUUUUGACAGCGAGACCAAUUGGGAUGUAAGCAUGCCGAGCGCUGGGCUACAGCUCGUUAAUCACAUUUUCCACACUUUUAAUUGGCGAAAAUAAUUACGCUCUUGCCGCUUAAUCUGAAUUACAGUAGGAUUUAGCCUCGUCUCUACUAGGUAGAGAAGCGAGAUGUUCCGGAAUAGCCCUUGUUGGCGGCGAUUCUAUUAGGAGCACCAGAAAUGUCAACACAAGGGUAUUAUUGCUUUGGUAGUAUCACAAAAAUUUCAGAAGCUAAGUGUAUAAUAGGCGGUUUUCAGUCGGUUGUGCAUCGAAAACCAAAUGAAAACUAAGCAUGAAGAAAGCAUUGUAAUUGCUUGUUUGGACGGGAGUUCGAUUCUCCCCGGCUCCACAA